ACGCGUUAAAUCGACCGCCUGGGGAGUACGGCCGCAAGGUUAAAACUCAAAUGAAUUGACGGGGGCCCGCACAAGCGGUGGAGCAUGUGGUUUAAUUCGAUGCAACGCGAAGAACCUUACCUACUCUUGACAUCCAGAGAACUUAGCAGAGAUGCUUUGGUGCCUUCGGGAACUCUGAGACAGGUGCUGCAUGGCUGUCGUCAGCUCGUGUUGUGAAAUGUUGGGUUAAGUCCCGCAACGAGCGCAACCCU
rnacentral:rRNA from 1 species